rnacentral:rRNA from 1 species
GACGAACGCUCGCGGCGCGCUUAACACAUGCAAGUCGAACGGAAAGGCCUGCUUUCCCUUGUGGAUUGCGGGUACUCGAGUGGCGAACGGGUGAGUAACACGUGAGUGAUCUGCCCCCAACUUGGGUAUAAGCCUGGGAAACUGGGUCUAAUUCCCGAUAGGACUGCAGGGUGGUGCCUGUGGUGGAAAACGAUUUUCUAGUGGUUGGGGAUGAGCUCGCGGCCUAUCAGCUUGUUGGUGGGGUAAUGGCCUACCAAGGCGGCGACGGGUAGCCGGCCUGAGAGGGUGGACGGCCACAUUGGGACUGAGAUACAGCCCAGACUCCUACGGGAGGCAGCAGUGGGGAAUAUUGCACAAUGGGCGGAAGCCUGAUGCAGCGACGCCGCGUGGGGGAUGACGGCCUUCGGGUUGUAAACUCCUUUCGACCGCGAGGAAGCCACCUGGUUGGAAGGGUGGUGACGGUAGUGGUAGAAGAAGCACCGGCUAACUACGUG